rnacentral:rRNA from 1 species
UAACACGUGGGUAACCUGCCCAGAAGCAGGGGAUAACAACUGGAAACAGAUGCUAAUACCGUAUAACAGAGAAAACCGCCUGGUUUUCUUUUAAAAGAUGGCUCUGCUAUCACUUCUGGAUGGACCCGCGGCGCAUUAGAUAGUUGGUGAGGUAACGGCUCACCAAGGCGAUGAUGCGUAGCCGACCUGAGAGGGUGAUCGGCCACACUGGAACUGAGACACGGUCCAG